UGCUUCUCUGAUGUUAGCGGCGGACGGGUGAGUAACACGUGGAUAACCUACCUAUAAGACUGGGAUAACUUCGGGAAACCGGAGCUAAUACCGGAUAAUAUUUUGAACCGCAUGGUUCAAAAGUGAAAGACGGUCUUGCUGUCACUUAUAGAUGGAUCCGCGCUGCAUUAGCUAGUUGGUAAGGUAACGGCUUACCAAGGCAACGAUGCAUAGCCGACCUGAGAGGGUGAUCGGCCACACUGGAACUGAGACACGGUCCAGACUCCUACGGGAGGCAGCAGUAGGGAAUCUUCCGCAAUGGGCGAAAGCCUGACGGAGCAACGCCGCGUGAGUGAUGAAGGUCUUCGGAUCGUAAAACUCUGUUAUUAGGGAAGAACAUAUGUGUAAGUAACUGUGCACAUCUUGACGGUACCUAAUCAGAAAGCCACGGCUAACUACGUGCCAGCAGCCGCGGUAAUACGUAGGUGGCAAGCGUUAUCCGGAAUUAUUGGGCGUAAAGCGCGCGUAGGCGGUUUUUUAAGUCUGAUGUGAAAGCCCACGGCUCAACCGUGGAGGGUCAUUGGAAACUGGAAAACUUGAGUGCAGAAGAGGAAAGUGGAAUUCCAUGUGUAGCGGUGAAAUGCGCAGAGAUAUGGAGG
rnacentral:rRNA from 1 species